rnacentral:rRNA from 1 species
CCUACGGGUGGCUGCAGUGAGGAAUAUUGGUCAAUGGCCGGAAGGCUGAACCAGCCAUGCCGCGUGAAGGUCAGUGCCCUAUGGGCGUUAAACUUCUUUUGUGCGGGAGCAAUAAUGGUCACGUGUGGCCAGAUGAGUGUACCCGAAGAAAAAGCAUCGGCUAACUCCGUGCCAGCAGCCGCGGUAAUACGGAGGAUGCGAGCGUUAUCCGGAUUUAUUGGGUUUAAAGGGUGCGUAGGCGGACAGUCAAGUCAGCGGUAAAAAUGCGGUGCUCAACGCCGUACAGCCGUUGAAACUGGCAGUCUUGAGUGGGCGAGAAGUAUGCGGAAUGCGUGGUGUAGCGGUGAAAUGCAUAGAUAUCACGCAGAACUCCGAUUGCGAAGGCAGCAUACCGGCGCCCGACUGACGCUGAGGCACGAAAGCGUGGGUAUCGAACAGGAUUAGAUACCCUUGUAGUC